rnacentral:rRNA from 1 species
GAUGAACGCUGGCGGCGUGCCUAAUACAUGCAAGUCGAGCGAACGGACGAGAAGCUUGCUUCUCUGAUGUUAGCGGCGGACGGGUGAGUAACACGUGGAUAACCUACCUAUAAGACUGGGAUAACUUCGGGAAACCGGAGCUAAUACCGGAUAAUAUUUUGAACCGCAUGGUUCAAAAGUGAAAGACGGUCUUGCUGUCACUUAUAGAUGGAUCCGCGCUGCAUUAUCUAGUUGGUAAGGUAACGGCUUACCAAGGCAACGAUGCAUAGCCGAACUGAGAGGGUGAUCGGCCACACUGGAACUGAGACACGGUCCAGACUCCUACGGGAGGCAGCAGUAGGGAAUCUUCCGCAAUGGGCGAAAGCCUGACGGAGCAACGCCGCGUGAGUGAUGAAGGUCUUCGGAUCGUAAAACUCUGUUAUUAGGGAAGAACAUAUGUGUAAGUAACUGUGCACAUCUUGACGGUACCUAAUCAGAAAGCCACGGCUAACUACGUG